rnacentral:lncRNA from 1 species
GGGUAAAAUAGGUAUAUUUGUUCAAAAUUAGGUAUAAAAAAUUUUUUCAGGUCCCAAUAAGUCAUUUCCGUUAAGUUUAACGGAUUCCAUCACCUUUACAAUUUAGUUCAAAACAUGAGGUGUUAUGUUGUACAUUUUGAAACCACGGGGGGCUUUUCUUUGUAUUAGGUUUACCACAGGGGGUUUUUUUGUUUUUUUACCCUUAAUUAAAAUAAGUGCAGACUAAGUAAUACUUCUUAAAGGUCUUUCUCUUGCCCAAGCCUUUUGAUUAAGGAGCAAAACUAUCUACUUUCUUGUUACAAAGGGGACGAUAACACUAUGAUCCGAAUCAUGGAAGAAAAACUCCCGUACUUUCUAGAUCUAAAUCUGUCCUAACUCCUGACAUAACUCCUGAAUAAUUACAAAUGCCAAACCCCCAAUUGGAAAGCUGGUCCACUGCCCUGUUUCAUUUACUAAGAGUGUGCUAAACAAAGGCCUCCAGUCUCUAGAUAUUAGUAUCCUGCAAUGCACUGUAACUUUUGCUGAUGACUGAUAACUAAUUUCCCCUUGUUUGGAUCAGUUGCAUAACAACCUGAAAAUCUGUUUCAACAACCAUCUCUCCCUAAAAACCGUGUUCGAUGUCAUCUCCAAAUCCUCUUUUAUAUUUAAACUCAUGUACCUGUAAAACUCAUUCCACGCUUCUAAUAGCCUGCAGCCAAUAUACCAUCUCACCAAGCAACAUUAAUGCUCUUCAGAUGAGCAUAUCCAUGGAAAAAAUUUUCAUUAUUGUUCAAUUCUUCCAUCCACAAGUUUGGUACAGCCAAAAGAUUUUGCUUUUUUGCAUUGUUUUGACUUAUUACAUGUCACUCAAACCUUGCAAACAUCUUUGUUAUCCCUAUACUUCAGUGCAUUUGAUUGUUUAAUCUUGAGUGCUAAUGACAACAAUAAUUUGCAUUCUAUAGCCAUUAUCAAAUCUAGCACUUGAACAAGAUUACCUAGAGGAUACUUUGCCAACAAAUGCUCUAAUUCUGUUUCUUCACAUGCUUUCUAUGAUAGCAUUAACACCAGAAGCUUUUCAUUAUAUAUAUGUAACUCUUUAAUGAGAAAGGAAAAAUAUAUUUGUAUUUGUUUAUCGAGUUUUCUUUUUAGUCACAAAAAGUAUAUACAUUUUGAAACUGGUGCAGAUCAGUAAAAUGCUGCACCUACUUGUUUUAUAACAUUUCAUUUGUGCAAAUGAAUAAUGAUUUAUUGCGGUAGGCUUAGCAACUUCAAAUGUCAGAAACAGCAUACAUACAAAAGUCUAAUCCAACCAUACCCCACACCCCAAAAAAAAGAAAAAAAGAGAGGCAGGAAAUGAAAACCAAACACUCUGCCUUUCUGUCUUUCCGGCCCUUCUUCCCCCUUUGCCCCUUAAGACCUCCAUCUCCUCUUAGGUUAGAGUUUUGGGUACAGAUCAGGCACUGCUUUGUUUUGCAGAAGUAAAAAAGGUAGUAAUAUCUAGAAGGAAAUCAUGCUGGUUUUGGAGCUCUUGUAAUUAAAGGACUAGACAUAAAAACUUAAGGGGUGUGAAAUAUAAAUUCCACUAAGACAACUUUCAAGUUGGCUCCUGUGAACAGCUUGAUGCAGAUUAACCAGUGGUAGAUAUCACAUAAUUCAAGGAACCCUAGAUGCUGUUGGACUAAAAAACUAGAUGAUGUAAGUGAAGCUCUUGAUAAGGAGAUAGUUGCACCACUCUAGUAGAACCAACCAGAAAGUUAUCCUCAAGUUCGUGGAUAUAAGUAAGUAUAUAAAAGUAAAAAUAAAAAAUAAAAAUGUACUCACUAUCACUAAUUCAACCAAUUGACAAAUGAAAGAACUUUAACUUCUGAUUAGUUGAAGAUCAACAGCUAAGUUCUUGCAUUCAAAAGCAAGCUUCUACUCUUUUAUCCUUCAUUACUGAUUUGCCAUGUCACUAACAAUAAUUUCUAUUGGUUCCUGCGAUACCUCAUCCCACAUCGUAAAAGUAAAGUGCUAUAGACCAAUACUUAAGUAGAGCCUGUCAACUGGUAUUUUGGGAGGAAAACAUCUAGUCACAGUAUUAUGAGUGACCAACUAGUAUUUAUAGGAGUACAAACCUAACAAACUAUUUACAAGAAUACCCUUACUAAUUUAUUAUCUACAAGAAUACUUAUAUUCUCUUGACACUCCCCCUCAAGUUGGAGCAUAUAUAUCAUAAGCACCCAACUUGUUACAAAUGUAUUUCACCCUAGAACCCCCUAAACUCUUGGUAAACACAUCAGCCAAUUGAUCUACAGACGGUACAUGAGAUGUCUUGAUGACCCCGUCAAGCAAUUUCUCUCGAAUGAAAUGACAAUCAACUUCAAUAUGUUUUGUCCUUUCAUGAAACACUGGAUUAGACGCAAUAUGAACAGCCGCCUGAUUAUCACACACUAAAUUCAUAGGCUGUUUAUGCUCAAACCCAAGUUCCAGUAAUAUGCUCUUCAACCAAACCAACUCACACACAGUGUGAGCCAUAGCGCGGUAUUCAGAUUCUGCACUUGAUCUGGAUACAACUGUUUGCUUCUUACUCUUCCACGACACUAAAUUACCACCAACAAACACACAAUAUCCUGUAGUCGAUCUUCGAUCUGAGGCAGAACCAGCCCAAUCUGCAUCACUAUAUCCUUCAAUAUCAGUGUGUCCAUGAUUUUGAUACAGCAACCCUUUUCCAGGAGCACUCUUAAGAUAUCUGAGAAUCCGUAUAACAGCAUCCCAAUGACUAGUACGAGGGGUAUCAAGAAAUUGACUCACAACACUCACUGCAAACGAAAUGUCAGGUCUCGUUACAGUGAGAUAAUUUAAUUUACCCACAAGUCUUCGAUAUUGCUUAGGAUCAUCAAGUAAUGCACCUUGAUCUCCUGCUAAUUUCACAUUUGGAUCCAUAGGAGUAUCCACAGGUCGGCAACCUAACAUCCCAACUUCACUCAACAUAUCGAGUACAUAUUUUCUUUGACAUAAAUAAAUCCCAUAUUUAGACCGAGCUACCUCAAUACCCAGAAAAUACUGUAGAUGACCUAAAUCCUUUGUCUGAAAGUUUGCCUGCAGAUUGGAUUUAAGUUUCUGAAUCCCCACAACAUCAUCACCUGUAAUCACAAUGUCAUCCACAUAAACAACUAAUAAAAUUUUACCAGCAUUAGAAUGCCGAUAAAAUACAGAGUGAUCUACUCCACAUCUUGUCAGACCGAACUCCAUGACAACACUACUAAACCGGCCAAACCAAGCCCUCGGAGACUGUUUCAAUCCAUAUAAGGAUUUUUUCAAACGACAAACCAACCGCGGAUUCUCCCCCUGAACAACAAAUCCAGGAGGUUGUUCCAUAUAUACCUCUUCUUUCAAAUCUCCAUGCAGAAAUGCAUUUUUCACAUCCAACUGAUGCAAUGGCCAAUUAUAAGUGGCUGCCAAAGAGAUAAGAAGACGAACAGAGGUAAUCUUUGCAACAGGAGAAAAAGUUUCUAAGUAAUCUACUCCAUACACCUGAGUAAAUCCUCUAACUACCAGCCGAGCCUUCAAUCUAUCAAUAGAACCAUUAGGCUGCACUUUUAUAGUGUACACCCAUUUACAACCAACAACAGGCUUACCUGAAGGACGAGGGACAAGAUCCCAAGUACCAUUUUGUUCCAAAGCAGACAUCUCUUCUUGCAUAGCUAAUCUCCAACCAGGAUGAUUAAGAGCAUAGGUAAUAGACUUAGGAAUGGAGACAGAAUCAAGGGAAGCAACAAAAGAAGAAUAUGACAUAGAGAGACGAGAAUAAGAAACAAAAUUAGAAAUAGGAUGGGAAGUACAAUGUCUCUUACCUUUGCGUAAAGCAAUGGGAAGAUCUAACUCAGAGGAGGGCGUCAUACCUGAAUUGGAAGAUUGAGAAUUAAUUGGUGAAGUGCGUGGCAUAUCAGGAACUUUUUCAACCAUGGAACGACGAGAGUAAACUUGAAGAUGAGGACGAGAUAAUCGAGCUAUGGAAUCUGGUGGACUAGAUAACUCAGGUAAUAAAGGGGAAGGGACUGGUAAAACAGGAGAGGAAAAAGAGGGACACUGGUCUAACUCACAAGACAUACUUUGUUUGAUAAAAUACGGAGUGGAUUCAAAGAAAGUAACAUCAGCACAAGUAAAAAAUCGAUUUAAAACUGGACUGUAACAUCUAUACCCUUUUUGCGCUCGUGCAUAUCCUAAGAAAAUACACUUAAUAGCACGAGAAUCUAAUUUAUCCACCCCGGGAGCAAGCUGAUGAACAAAGCAGACACAUCCAAAAAUACGAGGAGGCAAUUUAAACACAGGUUCAUGAGGAAAAAGAAUGGAGUGAGGUAAUUGACCUUCAAGAAUAUUAGAUGCCAUGCGAUUAAUUAAAUAACAUGCAGUUAGAACUGCAUCACUCCAAAAUUGUUUGGGCACAUUCAUGUGCAACAACAGUGUUCGAGCAAUUUCGAUUAAAUGUCCAAUUUUCCUUUCAGCAACUCCAUUCUGUUGUGGAGUGUGAGGACAAGAGGACUGAUGAAUAAUACCAGACUUAGUCAUAAAGGUAUUAAAAGGAGUGGAAAAAUAUUCUUUCGCAUUAUCACUGCGAAGUAUACGCACAGGCACACCAAAUUGAUUCUUUAUUUCUGUAACAAAUGCACAAAAAAUGGAAUAUAAUUCUGAACGAUCUUUCAUUAAAUAAAGCCAUGUAACUCUGGAAAAAUCAUCAACAAAGACUACAAAAUAUUUAAAACCUAACUUUGAAGUGACUCGACUAGGACCCCAAACAUCAGAAUGAACUAACAAAAAGGGUUCAGAAACCCGUUUAUUGACUUUAGGAGCAAAAGAAACACGAUGAUGCUUUCCUAACUGACAAGACUCACAUUCUAACGAAGAUAAUUGAUUCAAAGUAGGAACCAACUUUUUCAAAUUUUGUAAAGACGGAUGACCUAAACGACAGUGAAUUUCAAGAGGAGAAACAGUAGCAGGACAUGCUAUCGGACCAUUAAAGUUGAGAAAGUAAAGACCAUUAUGCUCAUGCCCUCCACCAAUCGUCCUCUUUGUCUUCAAAUCCUGAAUGACAACGGAAUCAGGAGAAAAAGUAACUGUACACUGUAGAAAUUUAGUGAGCUUACUAACAGACAUUAGAUUAAAUGGUAAAUUGGGUACGUAAAGAACAGAAGACAGCGGAAGUGAUGGAUUAAUUUCUACAGUGCCUAGUCCUUUAACUUUAGUGGUAGAUCCAUCAGCUAAAGUAACAUGAGGAAAGGGAGUAGACUCUUGAAAAUUAGAAAAAAUUUUAGAGGUACCUGACAUAUGAUCAGUAGCCCCGGAGUCAAUAAUCCAUGAGUCAUUACCUUUUUGUGCUAAAGAAGCAGAGGGAAGAGAUGCGUGACUUGUAGUUUGGUACUGUAAGAAUUUAACAUAAUCUUCCUCGGAUAUAAUAACAGUUUUCUGGGACCUAUGUGCUGAAGAACUUGAUUUAACUUGAUCAGUGGUAACCCCAUUAGCAAAACUUUCAACCAUAGCGAAUAGCACUUCAAACAAAACAGCAAUCAAAAUUCGCUAUAAACAGUGCGCCGUGAACAGUGCGCCGUGAAUAGUACCGGGGUGAACAGUAUCGCGAUGAACAGUACCGCGUGAACAGUACCGCGUGAACAGUCGUGAUGAACAGUAUCGCGUCAAGACUUUUGCUAGAUGUUUAACCCUAACCCUAGGACUUUUGCUCUGAUACCAUGUCAACUGGUAUUUUGGGAGGAAAACAUCUAGUCACAGUAUUAUGAGUGACCAACUAGUAUUUAUAGGAGUACAAACCUAACAAACUAUUUACAAGAAUACCCUUACUAAUUUAUUAUCUACAAGAAUACUUAUAUUCUCUUGACAGAGCCUAAGCACACAAGUCCAACUUGGGAUAUCCAUUUUGGGCUAGCGAGGACCGAGCCCAAGUAGUUGGACUUGCCUGCUGAGACUUUGGUCGUGUUCUGGGCUUGCAGGCCUGGGGUGUGACAUUAUGGUAUCAAAGCGCCAUGUGUGGUCUCUACAGCGGGUGAGACUGGGCCAGUGGUAUUGGGCCGGACUACACAAAGGAGCGGAGGAACUAAGUGCUGUGCAGGGCUAAGUGCUAUGUUGACCCAAGGGAGACUAAGCCAGUGGUAUUGCGCCAGACUACACAAGGGAGUGAAGGAACAAAGUGCUGUGAAGAGAUAAGUGCUACAUAGAAUCUGACACAAUUGAGUGGAUAGUCUGGAUUUGCGAGAACGCAAAGCCUAAAAAGGAAGGGUGAAUGUGAUACCCCAUCCCACAUCGAAAAACCAAUAAGUGAAGGUGGAUCAAGCUUAUACUCUCUCUUAUCUUGUCUCCACUCCUUUGGUCUAGAAGACAAGCAAGAGAGAUACUUAAGUAGAGCCUAAGCACUCAAGUCCAACUUGGGAUAUCCAUUUUGGGCUAGCGAGGAUGACGCCCAAGUAGUUGGACUUGGCUGCUGAGACUUUGGUUGCAUUUCGGCCUGCGGGCCUAGGGCGUGACAGUUCUCCAAUGUAAUCUUAAGGAAACCAAUAUGCAAGAGGGCUAAGGCUAUUCUAAUAAGAUGUACAAGCAUCUAAAUAUGAAGGUUGAUGGGAAACAUAUGCAACACUCAGCAUGAGAAUAAAAGAAUAGCAUUAUGAUGGAGUGCUAGCAACCCAAAAUACAGCAAGCCUGGGGCGUGACAGUUCCUCUAUGCAUUAUGAGAAUCACAGAAUAGCACUAUGAUGAUGUGCUAGCAACCCAAAAAACAGAAGUCAAACACAACACUAACACAAUUAAAAUAUGACACAUCUUUUAAUCCUACCAGAUAUGAUUCUAAAGUUCCAAUUCUAAUUCCAAGCACCUUCCAACAUGUGUUCUUAUAGAAGUUGUCAAUAAGCAAAAAAAACAUAUCAAAAAUACCAUGCAUACUAACACAUUGCCAGGAACAUGACAUGUAAGCAUGGUAAUCUGCAACUAAGCAACCAAAAAAAAUUUGAAAAAGACACUAACCUUCUAUAAUCAGGAAUUCCACACUCUGUGCUAAUUCCAGCACCAGUCAGAACAACAAGAUUUGAACUGUAAAAUUAGCAAGAAUCGAAAUUGGUCAGAGAUUUUAACAAAAUCAUGUAAAUAACAGUUUCCCUUAGAAAGGGAGUAAAACUGCCUUGGAAUGGUAAAAUUCAUAAUUAGGAAUUUCAGGUGUCAUAAAUGAAACCUCUUUGAAACUGAAAGUGCACAGUUUUCUGCAACAUUUUCACAUAUGUUAUUUAAACAGCAGGUUAGCAUGCAAAGGCUAGAGAAAAGUAGAAAACCAGUUUGGAUUGGCUAUCUUGAACAUUCAAAUUGUUAAAUGGAAAACCUGAAUUUAAAAACAUAUAGUGUCAAUCCUUUAGAAAAUAACUUUGAAGACCUUACAGAAAUUCAAUUCUUUUAAACCACACUGGAACAGCAUGUUCUUCAGUAAAAACUUGCAACUAAAUUUAACUUUAUAUUUAAACAACUUAAUGCAUGCUGGUUCCUUCUGUAAGAAGGUAAACCAAAUGUGCAUUUUAAACUCUCCCACACACAUACUACACAAAGUACAUAUUAAUUAUAUGGGAUUGUUAUGUCAAAGAGACCCUUAUAUGUAAAAAGUGACCCCUGGGGCAGGCUUUUUACGCGACAACCGAAAGUUUCAGAAGUAAGCAAAUUAUAGACAACUAAGGAACUCAAAUUGAGUUAACUUUCCACAUCCACAAAAGAGAAAAAGAAAGUGCUAAUUGAAUCAUCAAAGAGGGAAAAAUGGUGAGCUUUUUGAACUAGAGAUCAAUCUGGAUCUAUUCUUCUUGAUUUAGUUAGAGUUAUGAGUGCAAUCAGAUCAGUUGUCCUUGCCAAGUUGAGUGCACACACAGAUGACAAGAAAUUGAAGAAUAAAGAUGAGUUCUCUACAAUCACAUAUAUACUGCUCCUGCAGAUUCUCCUGAGAUUAAUCUAACAGGUACACAAAAAAGUGAUGCAAUACCACCAAUAUCAAUCAUACCUCCUAUCAAAAAAUUGAUAGAGAAUGUUGACAUCUUGAACACUAGGUGGAUCUGAAUCAGGAAUUAUCAUCUUUUUCCUCAAACUUGAAGAUGCCUUCUCUUUACUUUCUAAAGUAGCCCUUGGAAAUGAGAUUCGGCAAGCUGUCUGCACAUGCUUUGAGGAUCCUUGAAAAGAUAAAAUCCUUCCCACUCUACCAAGAGGUUUUCUGUUCUUGCAAGUUGAUUGAAUGCAACCUGUAAAUUAGGAAGACAAGACUUGUUUUCAGAUUUUAGCUAUCAAUUACUUUCAGAUAUGGAAGAGCCAAAGCAUAUAUCAAGAUAAUAUCCAACUUGCUGUCAAUAUUUGGCUGAGCAAUUCUCCUGUACUUCUCGGGCCCUGAAUGGUAAAGGAGCAAAGUAAGAAUUAAAACCAUGCAUGAUGGGCCAAUUAUCUAUGGAACCACUCCAAAACAAGAUAACAGUUAAUAAUCAAAACCGUUUAUGACUCUCUGAAGCAUUUGGAAGCAUCAUGACUUUAAUUUCAUAAAUGUUCCUGACAACAUUUUCUCUUAGAGUACUCCUGUAGCUGUCUAUGAGAAGAAACCCAGAGAUUACUUUAAAAAAAAAAUAGAAAGGGCACAAACCAAGUGCAUUGCCUGGUCUAGAUAAAGCUAAAUGUGUAACAAUUGCGUGCAAACAUACUGUUGUCCAAUGGAUCACCGUGUAACAAGCUUAUACUAGCGCAAAAGUUCACUCUUGGAAGAGAUAUGGACAUGAAAUUUCAAGAAAGGAAAAGAGGAAAAGAAGCAUUGUGAAACAAGAAUAGCACAGGGUGCACUAAGACAAUUUUGUCACCAUUAAAUUUUCUCACAGAUAGCCUUAAAACCCACGGUUGAAUCAUCCCAAAACUGGAAAUGUUGAACACAUUCAAUUUGGCCACAUCAAAUACUUUUAAUCUCCUAUGAAUCACUCUCUUCUUAGGCAAGUGCCCUCAAAAUUCAAGGCUGACAGCCAAGUUUUCAAAUUAAAAAAUGCAAAUGUUAAAUGCAUUUAAUUCAGCAACACUAAACAAUUAUACUCUCCUCAGAAUCACUCACAUCUUAGGCAAACAAACAUUCAACACCAAUAGACAAUUUUAAUUUAGCACAGUAGAACUCAAGUAACUAUAGCCUUCUUCAUCAAAAUUACAGAAAGAAAUUAAAAGAAGAGAGACAAUUUCCAGGACAUGACAUGAUACAGCUCAUAAGAGCACAAAAAGGUUUCUUUCUUUUCCUUCAUUUGGAUAUAUGUAAAUAUGUUCAUUACACGUUGAAAAUAAUUGUCUACAAAGGACCGAAAAGAGAGAGAGAACAUCAUAUAAUCUGAAUGAAAUUUAAACCCAAAUAUGUUACAGUUUUUACCAAAUUCUUGAAAUUUCAAAAUUUUGUCACCUAAGUUAAAUAAACAAAGAAUCCCAUUAGAUUAUAUUGACAUGUAAAUAGAUGAAAGAGAAGACAUAAGCAUGUUUUUUUUAGCACAAACUAUAAGCAUAUGUUCUCUUCAAAGCAAUUGAGAAUUACACUGUCUUCGAAAUUUUUGGGAACUGAGGUUUUAAGAAAACGAAAUCUAGGACAUUAAAUAUCACUUUUCUUGUCAUGUUAAAUCUGUAAAUUGAGUUUUUGAAUAAACAUAUUGCAAUGGAGGGGGAAAAAACAAUAGAUAGUUAUAGGAACUUGAAAAUGUAUCAUUUCAGUAUAGAAUUAAAGUCCCACGAAUUGAAGAAUAUUCAAAUCCUAUGAAUUUGGCAUGAAAGAAACUGAAAUUUAAAGAAUUUCAUAAAUCUACAUAUGCUAUCAACAAAGAUCAUACAAAAGAUAAUAAAAUGAAAAUUUGAAGAGAAAAGAGGUCUAAACUCUUGGAGGAGAAAAAGAAAACUCAUAGGAAAGAGGAAUUUAUGAGUGAAAGACAGACAGUUUCUAAGCUAGUGGCCAAAACAGCUGGAUUGGCAAGAAAUUUCAUAAGCGAUUGCAAAAUAUUUGCCACAACUACAGUCUGGAUUCUCCUCCAAACUUUCUGCCUUCACCUUUCCAGUUGUGUUGUAUAUGCCACCAGCAUCCAAUUUCAUGUCCUAUAUCAGGAUAUUCCAAGUGUUCACCGCUACCCAUCAGAAGAAAGAAUCCAAAUUUAAACACCCAAAAGAUCCAGAGCCAACAUAAUUUAAGCUUAAGUUUAUGCCUACCCACUUUACAUAAGGUGACAAUAGUUUUUUUCUUUGAUUCGAUAAUUCAGGACACACAACAAUGUAAUAUAUUAUAAGUAAUACAUUUCCAAUUACCAAAUGACAUAUCAGGCAGUGUCAAUCUUAACGACUAAAAUGAUAUAACAUUUGCUAACUAACAUAUUUCUAGAUCGAUUCCCACACGUUACAUUCACAAUGUGAUUUCCCCCUCAAGGAAUAGCCAAAUCAAUCAUGGCAUAUAUACAAUUGAAGCAGACGAGUCUGACGUGAUCAAAUUAUAAAAAUAUUAGAUAUAUUUAAAAAAAACCUUCCAUGUUUAAUAGCUUUUCUGGAACAUCAUAUUUUCCCAAAAUUCUGGAAAGACGAAAGAAUAAGAAAAAUUACUCAAAUAAACAAACGCACACCACUAGCCCAAAAGUUCCACUAUUUAACAGUUACUCCUAUUGGUCCAUUGUCCUUCCUAAGCCCUAAGGCUCCUAUAUCCACCCUCCCCACUACACCUUCAACCGGAGCCAAACCAAACUCAGCUAAAAUAACAAAAACUGAUCUUCUCUCUCAAAUACAUAGAGCAGAUCCAGAAUAUAACACCUUGCUCUAACUGUCAGAUAUAUUCUACAAAAGGUUCAAAAUGAGAAAGCAAAAAUUGAAAAAAAGAAGAUCCCGCUUUUUCUUUCACUAUCGCUGCCUGAAAUUUAACCUCAAGGUUUUCAUUAGGCAUUUCUACUGGAUGAACAUAUAACUGUUCCCUUAAAAAAAUUACUGUUUUCUUCCGUAUAUAUCAAUGACUAUUAUAUUGUUUCUGUUCCUGGUUUCUGUACUAUCAUUUAAAAGUUAUCUGAACAAUAUACCAGACCUAAUAUGCUUCAUCUGUCUCACUAAAAUAUUUACUUCCUUCCCAAAUGACCAUUUCGGUGUUCAAAUAACAUAAAGCUAAUUCACCAAUAUAUAAUCUAGUGUCAGUAUAUUCCCAGCAAAAAAUAAAAAUUACUACAAUCAAUUACAGCAUCUCUGACAAAUAUUCUUGCAUAAAUUACAGCACAACAUUCAAACAGUGCAAUAUAUUCCAGAAAACUAAAACACCAUUGGAAUAACCAUUCAAGCUGCAAAUAGAUUUCUUGUAUCAGACACUUACAGAAAUAAAGGGUCUGUAAGGAAAUCGGAAAGCCAUGGCCAUAGGAGCUGAAUUGCUGGAAAUCUUUUUGCGCUUUUUUCUUUAGGUGUUCAAUUCUUCCCUUUCUUUCCCAAUUGGGAUGCAUUGUCCUCCUCAGAAAAUAAAAGGGCUUAAAAAAAAAAAGGCCUGAUUUUGCUCCCCCUUACGUGGAAGCUUCAAAAUCCUUAGCAUAACGCUUGUUUCAAUAGUUGCAAUUUAGUUUCCCAUGUUUGGCCUAUGUGCGAAACUGGUCCUUAAUAUUUCAACUAAAAUAAAUUUGGUCCCGAAAGUUUCAAAUUUGAGGCACUUGCCAUUUAAGACAAUUAAUAGGAAAUCAAUAAUGAUUAAUCAUCAAAAUCAAAUUACCAUUAGGAAGAGGGAUGGGUUGGGUAGUACCAAGGGUGAGAAUAGAAAUGAAAGGUCUUGGAUUCAAGGCAUCCACUUACACUAGAUAAAAAAAAAUUUAAUUACCAUUAGCCAAAAGUUUUUUGGCAUUGCACCUAUAAUCACUAAUAUCUUGAAUUUAGAUUAUUAUGGUCCCUUAGAUUUUAAAUAGUUAUAGCCACAUUUUCAAUUUGAAAAUGAAAACAGAUAUGAAUUGAUUAAAUAUACAAUACAUGUGCUCUCUACUUCCUAUAGAAUUUCAUAAACACUUCAUAUCAUUUUGAUCUAAAGAGCAUCCCUUUAUUAAAUAAGUUGUAGUUGUAAUACAAUAUAAAUUUGAUAUGUAAAACAAAAAUUAGUAUAAGAAAAGGAAAAAAAAAUUGUAGUUUUAGUAUAUAGCUUUAUUAAUUUCGACUACACAAAUUCUUGCAUGACUAGUGGACAUAAGCUGCAAAUUGGUGUAGUUAGUAGUUUAAUUAUAAAAACUAUUGAAUAUAAGUACAAAUGAAGUGUUUUUAGGAAUCUCUGAAAAACAAAAAACUUCCUCUAUUUUGUUGUUUUUCCUACCUAUUAAAUCCAAUGUUCCAAUAGUAAAGUUUUAAAAUAUUUAUUUUACUAUUUGUUUACCCUGAUAAUUUUAUCGUGUGAUUCGAAUAACUAUACAAAAAGCCAAUUCAGCUCAUACUCAAUUGAUAACCUAUUGAAAUUGAAAAAAGAAAGACGAACAAUCUAACUUACAUAUAAAACAAAUUUUUUAUUUCUUAAAGGGUCAUUUAAUUGAGUGUUUAAUUAUCAAUACAAAUGACAGUAAUAAUGAGUUCAUUAUCAUUUAACUCUUCAUAGUGCAAAAGUAAUACAUACAUAUAUACACACAUACAUACAUACAUGCAUGCAUAUAUGUGUGUGUGUGUGUGUUAUGCCAAAUCUAACACCAACUAUGCAAAUGAAAAAGUCUAUGAGAAAUUAGUGGGAUGAAUGAAUUAAAUAAAAAGAAAAAGAAAAGGAAAAAGUUGUACUUAACUUUUGCACAUUUUUCAAUACAAUUUCAAUCUAAUUUGCAUAUUGGAAUAUGAGUCCUCUCUCUAGUAGAGGCAUUUUCUCUCUCUAAAAAGAGAGUUCUAUCUCCCCGUGGUAGGAGCUCCAGACAGCACCGAAAAGUUACUUUUUGAAUCUUGAAUUUGAAAUACACCUACUCAAAUUCAACCGGUUGGCGUACUUAUUUCUCAACACUCCUGGCUUUCCGAGCAGCAUUAAACUGCUCAGAAAGCAAAACUCUGUCGGAAAAACACCAACAUUAACAAGCUGAAAUCUCAGUUCCCUGUUUUAAGUUCAUACGAAAAGGAAAACAAAAAAACAAAAAAAUCCAAGUCUGCAAAAUUCUCGCAGCUUCAGCUGACCAGUCGCCAUCCUAGUAGUAUAAGAAAACUAAGGAGAAAGAAGAGGGUUGACCAAGCUAGAGCUCUGGAUCACAGCUAACAAACCACCUGGAGACUCUAACAAAGCUGAGACAGGUAAUUUCAUGGACAUAACUAUCUCGUCCUAGCCUUAGUUUUGUGUCUUGUUUGGCUUUCGUUUCUUCCUUCCAGGAUGCUUGAACCAGGAGAAAUAUAGUAGAUUUUCUCCUUCUCACAUAGGUUUUGUGACUAUCCAGACUCUGAGGGGUAGUGUGUGGUAUACCAACAGUAUUUGCUAAGACAAUGACGGAUGAACUGGCUGAGAUCAUGCAGAACUUUGACCUUUCUAGCACAGAACUUCAAGCUACUAGCCUUGGUAGCGAGGAGAUAGGGAGAGGGGUGAAAGAAUGCAAAAUCAGCUUGAUUGGUAAAGUAAUGGGAGAGAAAGUCUCAAACUACACUGGGGUCAAAAACUUUGUGACAACAACUUGGGGGUACCCUAGAGAACUGAGAGUGGUGGAACUAGGAUCGAAUAUGUUUCAUUCAUUCUACCGGUGGAAAGUGACAGGGAGAAGAUCCUGAAUAGAGGACCUUGGAUAAUGGAUAACCAAGUGCUUGUUCUGAACAAUUGGUAUGAAGGAAUAGAGAAGGAUGAAAGGGCAUUCUGCUUAGCACCUCUAUGGAUUCAAGUUUGGAACUUGCCAGUACACUGGAUGUCGAAAGAGGCAGGGAAGAAAAUAGGUUCAAUCUUUCACCAGGUGAGAGAGGUGAUAGUUCCCUAGACUGGGGGUAAAAAGAAGUUAGACAUUUGAAACUUCUAGUGGUUGUUAACAUUUGCCAACCCCUGCUGAGAGAAACCAUUGUUAAGGUUGGAGAUGUAACUAAGUGGGCUAGUUUCAAAUAUAAGAUAUGCCCAGAUUUUUGCUACAAUUGUGGCAUUAUAGGACACAGUAAAAGGACAUGCAAAAAGCAAGUCUAUACUGGAUGGGGGAAGAAGGAUAAUCAAUAUGGUCUGUGGUUGAGGGUUGGUAAUCUGAGAAGUUCUCCAUAGGAAAAACAAUCCAGUAUUGUGUACAACCCUCAAGCACAUCACUGGAGACUCCAAGAUGGGGAGUGGAAGGAGAAAGGGAGGAAUGGUGUGCAGGAAGGUAAGCAUAAGAACCAGACACCAAAGGCUAAUACCAGCAUCAAAGAGUCUGGAAAUGAGAUUAGAACUCAGUCAUUAGGAGAGAGUAGUCAGGAAGAACAGUGGAGAGGUAUAAUUGACGAACUGAGCAUACAAUCUAAUAAGUCUACUGAAGUGGUUAAUAGUGUAGGGGGUAAUAGAGCUAGAGAUCAACUCCCAAAGGAAUCAAGGGAUGGGUAUGAGGUACACAAGGAACAAAGUAGGAGUUUAGGGGAAGGUAAACAAAUAGGGGAAAAGGGAAAGGAAUGAGUUAACUCAGACAUACUGAUGAUGGAAGGAGGAAAUGGCAUUGUGAUGGUUCAGCUCCCCAAGACUGGGAACUGUGAAGAGGGAGACACAGAAAUGGAGUCCAUAAGCAUGAGAGCAGAAUUGGAACCAAAGAUGAAAGAGGCUCUAGAUAGACAGAAUAGAAGAAUUCUGAGAGUCCUGAGAUCCCCCAAGAAACAAAGGCAGCCUCUAAGUGAUAUUAACACUAAUACCAUCAGAGAGAGGAAGUCAGGAAAAAGGAAAGGGGUCAUAGGGGAAAUGGAAAUGGUAAUUAAUGAGGACAGCAUGCAAAAUGGAAAGAGGAAUAAAAUUGAGUUGAAUGGAACCUCAAUAGGUAUUGAUACUGAGGGGGAGGGGUCCAAUCCAAAAUGGACCCCAUUAGAUAAAUGAGAGUUCUGGUGUGAAAUUGUCAAGGAGUGGGGAGCUCCUUGACAAUUCCACAACUGAGAGAGGUGAACAACCUCUCCUCUCCAAGUGUGUUGUUUUUGUGUUGAAAUCAAGAAUAGAAGUAAAUAUAUGGAAAAGGUAAAAAAUAUUUUGAAGUUUGAUGAGAUAGCAAUAGUGGAAGCUAUGAGUAAGACAGAAGGUAUGGCCCUCAUGUGGAAAGAGGAGGUUAGGAUCAAGCAAGUUUUAAGAACUGCCUUUACUAUUGAAGCUCAAAUAGAAGAUCAGGAGAGUAGGAGUGAGUGGUGGUUUAUAGGGAUUUAUGCCAGCUGUGAGGACCAAAUAAGAAAAUAGCAGUAGAGAGUGAUUCAGGCAAGGAAAGAUCUUUGAGGGAAAAAUGGUUAUUAGCAGGUGAUUUCAAUGACAUACUGUUGAAUGAUGAAAAGUGGGAUGUAAUUGGAGAGAAGAAGGUAGUUUCAAGGCCUUUAAAGAUUUUAUCAAUGAGAACCAGUUGAUGGAAGUAGGCUUUGAGGGUCACCCUUGGACUUGGUGCAACAAUUGGGAAGGCGAAGGAGAAAUUAAGCAAAGACUGGACAGAGGGUUAUGUAGCUUUCCUUGGUACCAAACUUUUGAUAAGGUCAGCUGCAAACACUUGAACUCAUUUGCCUCAGACCACAGCAUGUUGAUGUUUGACACCAAACCAGGUCAGGAUAGGAGAAAGAAAAGGUUUUACUUUGAUAAAAGGUGGCUCCAAAAUGGAGAGAUCAAUGAGAUUGUAGAGCAGGCUUGGAAACAAGGAGAUGAAGGCACAAAGAUGUACAGAGUAACACAGCAGAUUAAGAGGUGCAGAACUGCACUGCUAAAAUGGAAAAAUAAGCUCCAAAGUAAUUCGAAGAUUAACAUUGAAAGGAUCAAGAGACAAUUGCAUGCACUAAAAGAAAGUGACAUAGGUGACAAGAAGAGCAAGGGGAAACUUCUGAAGAGUAGGUUAAGAGAAGCCUAUAGAGAGGAGGAGGUUUAUUGGAGCCAAAAAGCCAGAUUGUAGUGGCUAAAGGAAGGGGACAAGAACACUAAGUUCUUUCAUACCUGUGUUAAGGAUAGAAGGAGGAAAAACAGAAUUGCGGAUAUCCAGAAAGAGAAUGGAACUUGGACUAAGAAUGAAGAGGAGUUAAGUGCUGAAAUUGCCAGUUACUAUAGGGACCUCUUCAAAACAUCAGAGGAAGGAGACAUGGAGGAAAUUCUGAGUGGUAUACCUCACACUAUCUUAGGAAGUAUGAAUGAUAGGCUGACAAAACCUGUAGAUGAGGAAGAGAUCAAAUAUGCCAUUUUCUCUAUGAAUCUAGACAAAGUCCCUAGAAUAGAUGGGAUGCCUCUUAUCUUUUUCCAGAAGUUUUGGAACAUUGUUAAGAAAAACUUAAUCAGUGCUAUUCAAACAUUCUUUCAUACUGUUCAUCUCAUCAAGUCAAUCAACCAUACAGUUAUCUCUCUCAUUCCCAAAGUCAUGAACCCCACAUCCCUUAAGCACUAUAAGCAUAUUAGUUUGUGCACAAUUGUGUAUAAAAUCAUAGCUAAAGUCCUUGCUGAUAGACUGAAGCAGGUUCUCCAUUUCUGUAUCAGUAAGAACCAGUCAACCUUUAUUGUUGGAAGGCAAAUCGUAGAUAAUAUUAUGAUUUCCCAUGAGUUCUUAUAUUAUCUAAAAAACAAAAGGCUAGGGAAAGAUGAUUUUAUGGCUGUAAAAUUGGAUAUGUCAAAAGCUUAUGACAGGGUUGAAUGGAGGUUCUUGGAAGCAGUGAUACAGAAAAUGGGAUUCAAUGACAAAUGGAGAAGGUGGAUCAUGGAAUGCUUGUCAACAGUUUCUUAUUCCUUCACAAUCAAUAGCGAGGUCAGAGAAUAUGUGAUUUCUCAUAGGGGAAUUAGAUAGGAUGAUCCUCUAUCACCCUAUCGAUUCCUCUUAUGCUAAGAAGGACUAUCUAAUCUACUCCACAAAGCUAUUGAGGAUAAAAGAAUCGCAGGGCUGAAAAUCAGUAGACAGGGUCCUAGUGUAACUUACCUAUUUUUUGCAGAUGACUCUCUAAUAUUUUGUAAGGUAGACCCUCAGAAUGCAGUUGAGCUUAGGAGAUUACUUCAAGUGUAUGAGAAAGGAACAGGACAGAAGAUUAACAUAGAAAAGUUCUCAGUUUUCUUUAGCAGAAAUGUGAAACAUGAGACAAAGCAGGAUACUAGUCAAGCACUGGGAGAUAUUCAGCUGGUUAAUCAAGGGCAAUACCUGGGGUUUCCAAUGGUGGUCACUAGAACCAAGCAACAGCUAUUUGGGUACAUCAAAGAUAACAUUCAACAGAGGUUAAAGAAGUAAUGCUUAAAUCUGUAGCUCUAGCAAUGCCAACGUUUACUAUGUCAUGUUUCAAGCUUCCCAAAAGGCUAUGUAAAGAUAUAAACUCCAUCAUGGCAAAUUAUUGGUAGGGAGAGGCAAAUGGAAGAAACAAAAUGCACUGGAGCUCCUGGAGCAAUAUCUCUUUGGAUAGAUAAUCUGGAGGAUUAGGAUUUAAGGAUUUAGGGGUAUUUAACACAGCUCUGCUUGGCAAGCAGGUUUGAAAACUACUUACACAACUAAAUCUGUUGGUCAGUAAGGUGUUAAAAGCCAGAUACCAUCCAAAGGAUUCGAUCUUUAAGUGUAAGGUACCAGAAAAUGUCUCGUGAAUUUGGAAAGGAUUGAUGGGGGCUAGGAAGCUGGUGGAAAAAGGAGUUAGGAUAGCUAAUGGAAAGAGUACCAACAUAUGGGAGGACUGUUGGAUCCCAAAUAAUCACCAAAAAAACCACAAGGAUGCAUCCUAUAGAAGGUUGAGGAACUGAUACUCCAAAGGAAAUGGAAUGGACAGCUAAUAUUCAGGAACUUCAAUAGUAAGGAGGCAGAAAGGAUUCUGAGCAUUCCCAUAAGCUUAGUUGAUAGAGAGGAUAGUAACUUUUGGAUCUAUGGAACAAAUGGCAACUACUCAGUCUGUUCAACAUACAGGAUACAAGCACAAGAAAAGGUGGAACAGAAGAGAGAAGCCAAGGACAAUGCUAGCACAAGCUGGAGCAAACAAAGCCAAAGUAAUUGGAAACACCUGUGGAAGCUCAACGUUAAGAAUAAGGUGAAGAUCUUCUUGUGAAAAUGCCUAAAUCAGGCCCUACCAGUAAGACAACUAAUCACCAGCAAGACUAAGCAAGGUGAUCCAAUAUGUAGAGUGUGUGGAGAGGACAGUAAGACAAUAGAACAUACACUGAUUAACUGCAGCUAUGCCAAACAAGUGUGGAGGUUAGCACCAAUCCAAUAGGAAGGAAUUCUAAACCAACAAGGAUGCUUCUGGAGGUGGUGGACCAAUGUUGCAGAAGCAAAAUCAAGAAGAGAGGGCAAUGAACACCUUUCCUUAACUGCCAAUAUCCUUUGGCAAAUCUGGAAAAGCAGAAAUGAGAAAGAAUUCAACGGAAAACAGCAACUCUCAAUGAGAACAAUUCAGAAAGCUCAGGAGGAGUGGCUGGAAUUCAAGGAAGCUACAGAAAAGAACUAAAAAUGAGUAUAGAAGGAACAGGAACUCAGGAGACAUUCUUACAGCAACAUGAAGAGAAUGAAGACUCAAUGAGACUGAGGCUAGCUAUAAAAAAGAUGAAGGACAAUCCCUAAAUAGGAAUAGGGAUCACAGUUUCUGUGAACAGCCAAGAACAUGUUUGAGGUUGGGCAUUGCAUGAGAGAAACACAGGAAAUUAGCUAAUUGAUGAACUAGCAGCUGUCAAACUCCUAAUGAGCAAAACUGUUGUGCAGGAGUAGGGGAAAAUUGAGGUACAGAUGGAUAACAAACAAGUGUUCAACCGCAUACUGCACAGCAAAACUCAGGAUAUGCGCUUGGCAACUUUGCUGGAGGAUAUCUAUAGUUUGAAGUCUUUGUUUCACAUGUGCUCCUUUUGUUUAGUAAGUAAAGAUCAUAAUCAUAUUAGCGAUAGGAUUAGCGCUUAUGCGUUAAGCAUCCUUCAAGAUAAGGAACUUUGGUUUCCUUAGUGUCAUAGUGCACUGGUUGUAUAGUGCUUAUCAAGCAUUUACUUGAUCUUGUAAAAUUUAACUUAAUCUAUAAAAUCACUUAUCGUUUCGAAAAAAAAAAUCUAAUUUGCAUAUCGUUUCAUCUUAAAAUCGUCAAUAUCACUAUUUAAAACCUAAAGGAGAUGAUGAUCCAAAUUCAAGAUAUUGGAACCAAGAGUACAAAAUUAAAACUAUUGGCCAACAACAAUUUGACUUUGACCAUUAGUCAUUGUUGAUUUUCUAUCAAUUAUCCUAAAUAUGCCUAAACUUUGAAACUCCGGGGAUCAAAUUUAUUUUGGUCGAAACAUUAGGGACUAAUUUAGCACUCAAGCCAAACAUUAUGGAGUAAAAUUGCAUUUCUUCCUUAUUGAAACAAUGAAUCAAUUUUCUAUUAAAACGUGGGAAUCUGAGGGUAUAGAACCUAGGACAUCUUCAUACUAUGGCAUCAACUUUAACCACUAGACCUACCAGUAUAAUUAGUUAAAACUCUCUUACGUUUCAAAAGUUCUCUCUUUUUCCAUCUAAAGUAAAAAAAAUAUUUAUUGUUUAUUUUCUAAAGUUUAUUCUAUUGACAAGUUUUUUUGUACAAUCAACAUUUAUAAUCUAGUCUCAAGUCAUUCUUUUAGUUUUCCUAGUCAAUAAAGUAGAGCAAAUUAAGUUCACGAUAUUCAAUAACACAACAGAAAAUGUUGAAAUCCAAUUAGAGAUAAGCUGCCUAUGAGCAUCAUGGCACAAGUAAAAGGGAACAAGAAGGCAAGCCCCGCCAUCUUCUGCAUCAGGUUAUUUCCAAUUUUUCAUCUAAAAUGACCAUUUAUUGGACUAAUGAGAAAAGAAUAAAUAACUUUUAAUGUAAUAGAGACCAUUUAUUGGACUAAUGAGAAAAGAAUAAAUAACUUUUAAUGUAAUAGAGAUAAAGGAACUAUUAUUGAUGUGGUCAUCUUAAAACCCCGGAUAAGAUUUAAAUUUAUCUAAAUUAAAAAUAACAAAAUGUAUCAAAUGAAGUUUCAUCUUCAAAAGAAAAAACACAAAAGUAUAUAUGUAACUAUAAAAAUCUAUUAGUCAAUGACUCUCUUCCAUUAAAUACAAAAAUAAAAAUAAAAGACUUACGUAAUAGCUACACUAGAUUCUAGAGUCAUGGGAAAAUGAACUAAUGAAAUAAUAAGUAAAAUCAUUUUAGGACAAAAGUUGGAUAGAAAUUUAGAACAUGCAAAUCAAUAGAUUUAUGGGAUGGGAUAUCGAAUUUGGAUUAGCUAUCGUUUUAAUGGAAUAAAACAAUAGAAUGAUAGAAUUUAGACAAUAAGUGAUGGAAGGUCAAUGAGCUUUUAAUUCGUUGGACUUUGGUUUUCUAUGAUGGGAUUGGAUAACUAAAUUGUAAUUGGGUUUAUUUUUAUAUGAAUGAUUUUAGUUGACAUGGUUGAAUUUUCACUACCAUGAGGCUCUGAUUUUUGAUUGAGAUUGAGCUUUUUUUUUUCAAUUAGCACUAGAUUUAUAUACAUAAUACUGUUAGGGGGCAAACUUAUCUUUUUGUUAGUGAAAAGCAAUCAGUUAAAGAUGUUUUGCCAUUGGUGUGGGUUUAGUUUGGAAUUGAGGUAAGCUCUUUCUAUUAUCUUUGAUUUGAAAUUUUUUGAAUGUGAAAUUUAGGAAAACACUAUUUGCUUCAGUUUUGCUUUAGAUUUAGCUGCUAAUUGGAAGUUAAAUACUUAGAAGUCAAUUUUAUUGGUUUGGAUUGGAAUGAUUUGACGAAUAGGUUGAAAUUAUCAUUAAGGCAACCAAAUUAAUAUAAUUUUUUUCUAACUUUGUUAAUUAUCCUACUAUAGCAAGGUGUGCUACAAAACUCUGCAAUAUUUUGAGUUGGCAUUUAGAUUUUGCAUUAACUUUAAUGAAAAUCUUAACUAUUGCCACUAUUGUCUGUUUUUAAUCUGAAUAUCUACAUUUGCCAAUGUUUGCUCUAUUAAAUUACGUAGUUGUACUUUUGUCAGCAAAAUUAACCACAACUUUUGAAAUUUUACGUACUUCAUGUUUAAUAACAUGGUACUACUUGUCACUUGCAAGUUUAGAUAAGUUUUUUUUGCAGCAUUUCAUCGAACAAUUUCAAUGCAUUCUUACCCAUGUGUAAAUACUUUUUGUUAUCUAUUUCAUUACUUCUACUCUUUUUCAUUUGUAGCUACUUACACUUCACACUAAUUUUGGUGAUAGCAAGUCUGAAACCUUCACACUACUUAAAGUUGCCAAGGUUUAUGCUCUCAUGUCUAAUGUGUGGGAAUUUUAACCAAUUAUGCAAUUUACUAUAAUUUUAAUGGAUAAGAAUUUUCUUUAAUCAUAUUCUAAAUAACAAUUUUUAGUAAUUUCUUUUUUUGCGGUUUAUAAUUGGUAUAGAGUACUCCUUUACUAGUACAUUUUCUUCAAUUCAACAAGGGGGUUAUGUGAGUAUUUUUAAAUAAUGAGAGGGGUUUCGUGUAUAGUAGGCAAAUUACAGGGGAGGUUACUGUAACCCAAAAAAUUAGUAGAUAUUCACAAAUAUUAGUAUUAAAGUAAUCAAUCUAUGCAAAAUAAAGUGACUAUUGCAAUGUGCAAACUAAGUAAAUUUACCAAUCAAAUGUACAAGAAAAACAAUAUUAUACAAUUAAACAAGUGUCAGACUAUAAUAUUUUUUUUUGAUGAUUUUGAGAAUUGUGCUCAAAACUCAAUCAUCACCAUUAAAUUCAAUGAACAUACAAUCCACACCAAUCUAUAUCCUACAAGUAUAAAUCCACUAGUCCUUUGCUUAAUUUUUUUAUAGGGAAAAGAUAGCAAACAUUUCAUUUACAAAUAAACAUUACCAAGAAUGAAUCAACUAGUUGAGAAGCCUGAAUAGAUGAAAUAGCCUUACCUCUUUUGUCUUGUUUGUUCUUCAUCUUUUUGUUUGUGUCAGAAAAUUUAUGAAUAGUGGCAACUUUGAGCAUUUAUUUUGAAAAAAAAUUAGAUGGUACAUGCAAUGACUGCAACUAUUAAAGGAAGAAUCAGAUAGAGAAUUGAGACAAAGGAGAAGAAGAGAAAGAGUAGAAAUGAGAAGGAUUUUAGGAAAGGAACAGAGAGGUAGAAUAUUAUUCAGAAAAGGAGAUUUACAAUCAAUCAUCAGCUUCUCUUUUUCCUACAUUCAGCAGCUUAUUUAUACUAUAGAAUUAUUCUUUCUCCUAACUACUACUGCUUGCUUGACAGUAACUGUCUAGUAACUAUCACUAAUCAUUAGUGCUAACGAAGUACUCCAGAUGCUCCAACUAAAACUUGAUCAAUCAUGACCUGAUGAUGAUGAUCAUGGCCAUACAGGGAGCAACGGGGGAAGGGAGGCAAUGCUUUUUAUGAUCUCUGGAAAGUUUUAAUGAUUUUCAUUUAGAUACCCCCUAGAAUUCUAGAAAGGGGCCGCAAAACCUAACUUUUGUCUUAUGAACAAUAUUGACUUUUAGUUUUUAAACAAUUUUAGGCUGCAAUUUAGAUAGUUGAGCCAUAAAAUUGAACUUAUUAAAUGUUUUAGUAUUAUAUUCACAAAAUUUUAUCUAUUCUCAAAUAUCUCUUUAUGGCUUGUAGAUGAACAUUUUUAACUAGUUGGAUAUUUCAUGUGUGUACUUGAAAUUAAGACUUGGGUAUGGAAAAAUAGUCUAAAAUUUUGUAGUAAAACAUGCUUACAUUAAUACAUUAUAUGUUUUCCUUUUUUAUUCUAUUGUAAGAUAAUAAGGAAUGAGAAUAUAAUGCCAUGAGUAGUUAUGUUAAUUUAAUAUAGUUUUCAUGGAUUUUGAUCCAUUAUCAAGGAUAUAAGUUCUUUAUUAUGUUAUGGACUUAAACUUUAUUAUUGUUAUGUUUAAAAUUAGGGUUAAUAUCAGAAACCUCCCCUGAGGUUUCUUCUACUAACACCUAGCACUCCCAUGUUUUUGAAAUCACACAUAGCACCCCUGAAAUGACAACUUUGGUAUCAUUGUCAGCCCCUUUGUUGGAAAAGAGCAGUCAAAAAUGAAUUCUAGGAGAGAGACUUUAUUUUUAUUCCACUUUUACCCACAGCCCAAGAUGAUUAGUGAAUUUUAGAAGAUUUCUGUAAAGAUUUUUAGGAAAUAUUUUAUAUAUUUCUCACCAUAGUUACAAUGAUACAAGGCCUGUAUGUACAUGUAUAUGUAUAUAUAGGUUUAUAGUCAGGUAAUAGACACUAAAUCUAGACCACUAUUCAAAUGGUAACUAUCAUAAUCUAUCAUUAUAUAAUCUCUAUUUGAUAUAUAUUUAGGAUUCAAAAUAUCAAAAAGGAUAUUUAUAACAACUCACUCCAACAUUCCUCCUUAAAUUGGUGCAAAGAUAUCAUACAUGUCCUACUUGCCAAGUGGGUUAUAGAAGUUAUUAAUCGGCAAACCUUUGCGAGUAUUUCAAUCAAUUGAUAUUCAAAUUUCACAAACUGAAACUAUAUCACAUUAUUUUUAAGAUUUUAUUUAAUAAAAUGCCGAUCAAUCUUCACAUGUUUAGUUCGGUCAUGUUGAACUGGAUUAUGAGAAAUGUCAAUGGCUGUUUUGUUAUCACAAAACAAAACCAUUUCGAAAAUUGGAGCAUGACUGAUAUCGAUAAGCAGCUUCUAAAACUAAAGAAGUUCACAAAACCUUUGGGCCAUUCCUUUGAACUCAGCUUCUAUGUUAGACAAAGCCACCACCUUUUAUCUCUUACUUUCUAUGUAACGCUUUCCAUCCACAAAGAUGAAGUAGCCAAGAUUCAAUCUCCAAUUAGUAGGAUCUCCUGCCUAAUCGACAUUUGUAUAACCCUCAAUAUUGAGGUAAUUGUUCUUUAAAAAUAGAACUUCUUUCCCAAGUGAAUGCCUCAAAUUUGGAAUUAUCUGGAUCAUAGCUUCUAUAUGCCGAUUACCACGGCAAUGCAUAAAUUAGCUAGUAAUGGUAACAACAUAUGUAAUAUCAGGACAAGCACAUGAAAAAUAAAUUAGCUUACUAACUAACUUCUGAUAUCUCUCUUUGUCAGUUGGCACUUGAUUAGGAUAUUUCCCCACUUUGUAGUUUUGGAUUAAUCGGCGUAUCUGUUGAUUUGCAAUCUAGUAAUUCUUUUUCAACUAGAAGAUCAAGUACGUACUUUUGUUGAGGUAGAAAAAUGCCUAGCUUCGAUCUUGCCACUUUAAUGCCUAAAAAAUAUUUUAGACUUCCUAAAUUCUUCAUUUCGAACAUAACUGUUAAUCUAUCCUGUAACAUAGAGGUCUCCUCUGCAUCAUUACCUAUGAUAAUCAUGCCCUCAAUAUAGAUAACUGGUAUUGUCACUUUUCCAAACCAAUAUUUCAAUAAUAAGGUGUGAUUCACAUUAUUUUGUUGAAAACUAUAUUUUUCAUAACCAAAGUAAAUUGAUCAAACCUAGCACAUGGCCACUGUCUAUAUAAUGCUCUCUACAAUAGAUAGAGAAUAUUUGCCUUUGAAGUUGUGGAACAUCCAUGUGCACCUGUUCCUUAAGAUCACCAUGUAGGAAGGCAUUUUCUAUAUCGAACUAAUGUAAUGGCCAAUCUCGAUUAGCUAUAAGAAACACUAGGACUCUAACAGUGUCCAAUUUUGUCACUCGUAAGAAGGUUUCCUGAUAAUCAAUACCAAUGUUUGUGUGUAUCCCUUUGCCUCAAGUCAAGCCUUAUAUCAAUCAAUUGAUCCAUCAAUUUUAUACUUGAUUAAGAAAAUUCAUUUGCACCAUGCAAUCUUCUUUCUUCUGAUAGUGAGACUAAAGUUUAAAUAUUAUUCUUCGACAACACUGACAUUUCAUCUUCUAUAGCUUGAAUUCAUUUUCGAUCCACAAAAGCAGCUUGCACUUCAUUUGCAAUGUCAUCUGAUGACACAUUUUGUACAAAAACCUCUAGAGGUUCAGACAACUUGUAAGUUAACACAUAAUUAGCAAUAGAAUAUUUGGACUAUUUUAUAGGAGCUUUUGGAGAAUACUUGCCAUGAUUAGAUCUAUCUGGUAAUACAUAUCUAAUAGAUAUAUUCAAAUUUAGUAGUAAAUACAGGUGCAGUAGAAGUACUUAUUUUCGGAAUACACUUAGGAGAAGAAUGAUGAGGAAAUUAGGACCAAGAAUUAUCUUAGUUACAUCAACUUCUUUUUUAUUUUCUUUAGAAUAUAUAUGAGCAUCCAUUUUAUGAAAACCAUCAAGAGUAUCAUCAGCCCUAAGAGUUUUUUUAUCCUCAAUUAUAGGCAAAUUGGCCUAGUUACUUCAGUCAUUGGCAAAAUCAGCACCAAUCAUAGACAAAUUGGUACUGGUCAUAUUUGCACCUGACUAUUCCAAUUCAGGCUAAUUCUGCUCUUCUCUGUCCUUUAUUUUCUUCUGAAGUGAAAAAUUGGAUACUGAUGCAAAAAAUGAUUCCAACACCAAGAAUGUAAUGUCCAUCAUUUCAUACAUCUUCUUGGUGAUAGAAUCAUGGCAUUGAUGAUCUUCUUAUGCAUAGUAUACCCCAAGAAAACAUAUUGGACAGCAAAAGAAUCUAAUUUAAUGCACUGAUUUUUAUACAAAUAGAUGAAUGCCGUACAUCUAUACACUCGUGGUGGAAUCAUUAGCACCAAUGGUAGUUUAAAGUGUUUAGAGAGAACCUGUAGUGGAGUCUGAAAAUACUUUUGAAGGCACUAUGUUCAACAAAUGUAACAUCAUGGUGACCGCAUCUAUCCAAUAUUGGCGUAGAACAAGAGCAUGAGCCGUUUUGAGUAUGCGUUGAUUUUCGUUCUCAACAUCUCCAUUGUGUUGUGGAGUCUAGGUACAAAAAGCCUCAUGUGAAAGACUUUUAGUCUUAAAAAAAUCUUGAAGUGGCUAAUUGUCAUACUCACCACCAUUAUUAGACUGUUGUAUUCUAAUUGUAGCUGAAUUAGGCCCGUUUGGAAGGUGAGUUUUUUAAAAGUUUGUCUAAAACUUUACUGUAAUGCACUGUAGAAGUUUUUUAAAAUUUUUUUGAAAAGUGUAAAUUUUUUAAUAUUUUGAAGUGUAUAAUUUAAGAAUUUUAAAAAGUUUUUUGAGGUUAAUGUAGCUAAAGUUUUUAAAAAACUUGUAGAAGACAAACUUGCCAAAAAACUUGAAUUCCAAACAGGGCUGUUUGAAUCAUUAAUCGAAAUAAUUUAAAGACAUCAAACAUCUCAUUCUUAUGUUUUAGCAAAUAAAACCAAGUCAUUAUAGUACAAUCUUCUACAAAUGUAACAAACCAACGAAUACCAGUGAAUGAAGUAAUUAUAAGAGUCCUUAAACAUCAAAAUGUACCAAAGCAAAAGGAAUAGUACUAUUCACAUUGAUUUGGAUAAGGGACUCUAUGACUCUUAGCCAAGAUAUAAGUAUCACAUUUUAAAUUGGUAGGACCGGAAUUUGAAAAUAAAUCAGGAAAAAGGUGUUAUAUAUACCUAAAUGAUGAAUGCCCCAAUCAUUGAUGCCAUAACUAGAUUUCUCGUUCCAUUGCAUUAUAAGUGCUUUUCAUCUGAUUUACUCUAAGUGAAAUCAUCCAUAUAAUAUAAACUUCCUCUCAUUUUCCUAGGAUCCAUGAUCUCCUUGGUAAAAACAUCAUGAAAUAAACAAAAAAUUGGAUACAUUUGCUUCACAAAAUGGAGAUCAGCUAUGAUUUAGCUUAUAAAAAUUAACUUAUUUCAAAGAGAUGGGAUUAGUAAAGUAUCAAUUAAAAAAAGAUAUGAUGAUAGAACAACAUUUCUAUUGACAUUAGAAAUCAUCGAUCUUCUAAACUGGGUAACACGAGAAAUUAUUUGGAUCAAAAGUCAUAAUCAAAAGUCAUAUGGUUAGUAGCUCCUAAUCAACGAUCCAGUUACUAUCAUGUCAAUUAGAAUUAUUAUUACCUUGAUUGUUACAAGCUAACGAGGAUACAUCAGCAAUAGAGAUAGAAUGCAUCUGAGUAAUAUUGCAGGCGGUGAAAAAGGACUUGGGUUGAUAUUAACAAUCCGAUUGAUAUCGAUAGUCACUACUGCUACUUUACCAACAUCUCCAUCUUCAUUAUUUGUGAUUGAUCGAUCAAGGGUAUCAAUUUCUUACUUUGCGUUUCUUCCACCAAUUUGGAUAUCCAUACAGUUUGAAAUAGGUGUCAUAGGUAUCUUUUUUAUUCUUGCACUAGGUACAUCCAUCUCCUUCGGGUUGCACAUUCAUAUGAGAUAGCAUAGUCGAUCUUCUGAACUUCUUCAGAAGCCAUAACUGCAAUUGUUAUAUUGUCUCUUAUAGUUAGCAUCACUGAUUGUCUAUUAUCCUCACGUUGAACAAAGGUAUAUGCCUACUGCACUAUAGAAAACAGGUUCACUCACAACACAUCACUAUGAAUCUUAUUUAACCAGUUAUCUAGUCUAUAAAGAAAAGUGUAUACUUUCUCUUCCCGUAUGAAAGAGUAGUAGCUACUGAUAUUGGCAACACAUUCUAUUGGAUUAGGCCGACGAAAUCAAUUAUUCUCUACAAACCUUAAAGGUCAUUGUAAUGCUUCUGAAUUCAUCUUCCAGUUUGUCUUAUUCUGGUUAACUUUCUCUAUAGAUCAUAUACUUGGGCUUUAUCAGGCCUAUCGAUAUAUGUUGUAGCAACCGAAUCCCAUACCGCUUUCACAGUUGGAAAACAGAUAAAAUUUGCCAAUCAAGGAUGGGUCCAUGUUAUUUAUAUGAUUAAUUCUUCAGUCCUUCACUGUUGGAGUGUAGGAUCUGUCCAUAAAAGUUGUGAAAAAUUCACCAUUGAUAUGUCCAAAUUUGUCUUUGCCUGUGAUAUACAUCUAGAUAAUAUGGGACCAUAAGGUAUGAUUGGUGUCAUUCAACUUAAUGCAAAUUUGAGCCACAGAAGAAUCAUUGCUAAGCUUAGGUCUCUAACUCUGGUCAAGACCUUCGUCAUCCUCAUGGCUGAGUUUUUUAGAAUUGGGUCAAUUUAUCAUUUCUCACUUUGCAUAGUCUCAAAUAAUUCCGCCAUGGAUUCGAAUUCAAGUUUUUCUAUCAGAAUUGUGUUUCGACUAGAAAAUCUAAAAUCCUUACUUUGAUACCA